rnacentral:tRNA from 1 species
GAGGGGUGGCCGAGUGGCUGAAGGCGACGGUUUGCUAAAUCGUUAUAGGGUUAACGCUCUAUCGAGGGUUCGAAUCCCUCUCCCUCC